rnacentral:ribozyme from 1 species
AAAGAAAGGAAAGAACAAAGAACAAACCCAAUAGAAAAGGACAAAAAAAGAAAGGAGCGAGCUUUUCUUGUCCUUUUUCCCUUUUUUUUUCGCGUUGGUCGGUUUCCCUUCUUUCUUUUACCAAGGAGAGGAUCGAUUUUUUUUUUUUUCGUUUGGUGUGCAUUUGUUGUUUAUGGAAUUGCAACAUCCGAAAGAAGUUGGUGCGGCGGAAGGACAAGAAGAGAAGAG